rnacentral:rRNA from 1 species
UACGUAGGGUGCUAGCGUUGUCCGGAUUUAUUGGGCGUAAAGAGCUUGUAGGCGGUCUGUCGCGUCUGCUGUGAAAAUCCGGGGCUCAACCCCGGACUUGCAGUGGGUACGGGCAGACUAGAGUGUGGUAGGGGAGACUGGAAUUCCUGGUGUAGCGGUGAAAUGCGCAGAUAUCAGGAGGAACACCGAUGGCGAAGGCAGGUCUCUGGGCCACUACUGACGUGAGAAGCGAAAGCAUGGGGAGCGAACAGG